GACGAACGCUGGCGGCGUGCCUAAUACAUGCAAGUAGAACGCUGAAGGAGGAGCUUGCUUCUCUGGAUGAGUUGCGAACGGGUGAGUAACGCGUAGGUAACCUGCCUGGUAGCGGGGGAUAACUAUUGGAAACGAUAGCUAAUACCGCAUAAGAGUAGAUGUUGCAUGACAUUUGCUUAAAAGGUGCAUUUGCAUCACUACCAGAUGGACCUGCGUUGUAUUAGCUAGUUGGUGGGGUAACGGCUCACCAAGGCGACGAUACAUAGCCGACCUGAGAGGGUGAUCGGCCACACUGGGACUGAGACACGGCCCAGACUCCUACGGGAGGCAGCAGUAGGGAAUCUUCGGCAAUGGACGGAAGUCUGACCGAGCAACGCCGCGUGAGUGAAGAAGGUUUUCGGAUCGUAAAGCUCUGUUGUAAGAGAAGAACGAGUGUGAGAGUGGAAAGUUCACACUGUGACGGUAUCUUACCAGAAAGAGACGGCUAACUACGUG
rnacentral:rRNA from 1 species